rnacentral:rRNA from 1 species
CCUACGGGAGGCAGCAGUGAGGAAUAUUGGUCAAUGGGCUUACGCCUGAACCAGCCAAGUCGCGUGAGGGAAGACUGCCCUAUGGGUUGUAAACCUCUUUUGUCAGGGAGCAACGCCGGCUACGUGUAGCCGGACUGAGAGUACCUGAAGAAAAAGCAUCGGCUAACUCCGUGCCAGCACCCGCGGUAAUACGGGGGAUGCGAGCGUUCUCCGGAUUUAUUGGGUUUAAAGGGUGCGUAGGCGGAAUGCCAAGUCAGCGGUAAAAUCGCGGGGCUCAACCUCGCUCCGCCGUUGAAACUGGCGUUCUAGAGUGGGCGUGAGGGAGGCGGAAUGCGUGGUGUAGCGGUGAAAUGCAUAGAGAUCACGCAGAACUCCGAUUGCGAAGGCAGCAGACCGGCGCCCAACUGACGCUGAAGCACGAAAGCGUGGGUAUCGAACAGGAUUAGAUACCCUUGUAGUC